rfam:Acyrthosiphon pisum strain LSR1 Contig40781, whole genome shotgun sequence.
AACAGGUAUGGUGACAUGGUACCCGAAACAAUAGCUGGAAAAAUUGUCGGUGGAGUGUGUUCACUAAGCGGAGUGCUUGUUAUCGCACUACCUGUACCAGUAAUUGUGUCUAAC